UAAGACGAACCGUGCGAACGUUAUUCGGAAUCAUUGGGCUUAAAGCGCGUGUAGGCGGGCGGGCGCGUCGGUCGCUGAAAGCCCCCGGCUCAACCGGGGGAGGGGCGGCGAAACGGCCCGCCUCGAGGGGCGUAGGGGGACCUGGAACUUCCGGUGGAGCGGUGAAAUGCGUUGAGAUCGGAAGGAACGCCCGUGGCGAAAGCGAGGUCCUGGACGCCUGCUGACGCUGAGACGCGAAAGCCAGGGGAGCGAACGGGAUUAGAUACCCCGGUAGUCCUGGCCGUAAACGAUGGGCACUGGGUAGGGGGCUCGCCGAUGGGCUCCCUGCCGCAGGGAAACCGUGAAGUGCCCCGCCUGGGGAGUAUGGUCGCAAGGCUG
rnacentral:rRNA from 1 species